rnacentral:rRNA from 1 species
AGUUCGUGGAGUAAUUUGUCAGGUUAAUUCCGUUAACGAACGAGACCUUAACUUGCUAAUUGGGGUCGGAUAUUUCAUAUCUUACCCCAUUAGAAGGACCAUGUGUGCAUAACACAAGGAAGCGUGAGGCAAUAACAGG